rnacentral:rRNA from 1 species
AAUCAACGCUGGCGGCGUGCCUCAGACAUGCAAGUCGAACGCGAAAGUCUCCUUCGGGGGACAAGUAGAGUGGCGCACGGGUGAGUAACACGUAGGUAAUCUACCUUCGGAUGGGGAAGUAACAACCGGAAACGGUUGCUAAUACCGCAUAAUGCAGCGGCACCUAAUGGUGACAGUUGUUAAAGCGGGGGAGUCGUAAGACCUCGCGUCUGAAGAGGAGCCUGCGGCGGAUUAGCAGUUGGUAAGGUAAUGGCUUACCAAGGCUACGAUCCGUAACCGGCCUGAGAGGGCGGUCGGUCACACUGACACUGACAUACGGGUCAGACUCCUACGGGAGGCAGCAGUCGGGAA